AUUGAACGCUGGCGGCAGGCCUAACACAUGCAAGUCGAACGAGCGGCGGACGGGUGAGUAAUGUCUGGGAAACUGCCCGAUGGAGGGGGAUAACUACUGGAAACGGUAGCUAAUACCGCAUACUAUCAGAUGUGCCCAGAUGGAAUUAGCUAGUUGGUGGGGUAACGGCUCACCAAGGCGACGAUCCCUAGCUGGUCUGAGAGGAUGACCGUGCAACCUGGGACUGAGACACGGUCCAGACUCCUACGGGAGGCAGCAGUGGGGAAUAGUGCACAAUGGGCGCAAGCCUGAUGCAGCCAUGCCGCGUGUAUGAAGAAGGCCUUCGGGUUGUAAAGUACUUUCAGCGGGGAGGCGUUACCCGCAGAAGAAGCACCGGCUAACUCCGUGCCAGCAGCCGCGGUAAUUC
rnacentral:rRNA from 1 species